CUCAGCACCUGCCAUGACGGCCACCAUCGUCUUGACUUGGUGAGAAUCUGAGCCCAGCAGGCGGGGGGUGAGGUUGCCGUCCACGCGUGUCUUCCGGUGGCGUUUCUUCACCUGUUCCAGUCGCCCUCGCUUCAUCUCUAAACUGGGAAUUAAUUUACUCCGCAGAUAUGUGUCACACGCCACUACGUGUUGGCUGCUGAGCUUUAGUGGUGAGCGAGGCAGACUCGGUCUCUGUCCUCACAAAGCUCUCCUUUAAAUAAGAGACACGAUGACAAGUCUAUGCAGUGUGACACCAGGUGGGGGGAGGUGCCGUAAAGGAAGGGAUGACAAGGUAGGUGUAUGGAGAGUCUGGCGGUCAUGCAAUUGUUUUAUCUGAGCAAUCAGGGAAGACUGCUCAGAGGAAGGGGCAUUUGAGCGAGGGAAAGAAGUGGGACUAUUUUGGAGGAAGAGAAAUCCAGGUGAGAAUCCCACAGGUGCAAGGGCCCCCAGGAGGGUCCUCGCGGGGGGACCAGAGUGGGUGAUGGGCAGGGGGGAUGAGCCACGAGACCAACGGAGUUGGGGGCAGGUCACAGGGGCCCCGAUGAAAGAGACUUCGGCGCUGUGGCGUUUUAGUUUCCCUGCCUCUGGUUGCUCUCCGGGAGACCCCGUGUCCUGACGGAACGUGAGCAAGGAAGCAGUUCGUCGCUGCCCUCCUGCAUUCCUGCGUUAGUCCUUCCAGAACUGCGCUCCUGCGGGGGUCAGUGGUGAGCAGGGGAGUGGGGAUCCAUGGUCCCGCCCGUGGAUGCUCAUGGCCCAGCACAGCCUGCAGGCUUCAGUCGACUAUUUGAGUAGAAAGGUCCCCAUAAAAGAGUCGGUCCCUAGGACCUUCCUGGGAAGAGCAGGUGUGGGGCCACUCAGCCGUGGGGUCCCAGUGACACAUCUUUAUUUUUCAUACUUUUAUGUAUGUGAUGUUCAAGUCCCUGCCUGGUUCCGAAAGGACUUUGAGGCCUUAUAAUAAAAGGCAAAGAUAGUGGAGAAAACCUGAACACCAAGCAGACAAAUCAGUGGCCAGAUGCACCCCACCAAUGUGUCAGUCGGCCACCUGCCCCCCACCUCCCCUCACCCAGUCCCAGCAGUGAGCAAGGUGGAGUAAAGAGGCAGGCUGAGUCUGACCCGAUCCUCAGACCCCUUCUCGCUGGCAGAAGGUUCCGGGCCAUAAGGGAACUUUGAUUUCCUUAAUGGAGAGUCAGAGCAUCAGUGCUUGAAAGGAUCCUUAUGUACUCGGGAGGGCUGGAAAACGGCUUUGUAAAUUUUUUUUAAUGUUUAUAUAUUUUUGAGAGAGAGAGAGAGAGAGCGCGUGCACGCGCAAGUGGGGGAGGGGCAGAGAGAGAGGGAGACACAGAAUCGGAAGUAGGCUCCAGGCUCUGAGCUGUCAGCCCAGAGCCCGACGCGGGGCUGGAACUCACGGACCGCGAGAUCGUGACCCGAGCUGAAGUCAGACGCUUAACCGACUGAGCCACCCGGGCGCCCCUGGAAAGUGGCUUUGAAUAAGCCAGACAGAGCAAGCUAUGCCCCGGAAAGGGAAACCGAGUCUCAUGAGCCUUGCUGAAGCCACUGACCACAGGAAUGCGCCAGAGCCUUCCUGGAAAGCUCACCGGACACACGCUGUUUGGGGGAGUGUUCUGGGGUUUAGUGCUGAGGACCCCGUGGCAAAGCAGGCGUGUGACACAAUUUGGUAACCGCUGUGACAGGCGGCGGUGACAUCAGGGAGGACCUCCAAAGCCCAGCUGAGCUCAGAGUCUAUGAGGCCCGGGAGUGCUGAGGGGUGCCCUGCUUCCUCUCCUUUGGACGUGAGCACCCCCAUUCCCUCUGGGAACCUGCUCUUCCUUGCCCUGUGCUCUGGGACGGAUCAGCACGCCGAGAUUCAGGGGACAGGGAAGCCAGCUUUGUGAGCUUCCAGGAGAAGGAGAGUCUGCAGGGCAGGGGCGGUGGGGGCAGGACGGAGGAUUCCGAUCGGGACAGAGCAUCCGUGCUGGAGGAAGCAGACAGCUACUCCUCUGAAGUCAUUUACACUGUUACAUCUUCACUCUUGCAACCCCCCUGGUCAGGGCCCCGCUGCUGGGUCGCAGCGUUCACGUCUCUCCUUCUGAGCUCAGCGACUUGUGGCGGGUUGUGCCCCUGAACUGUACAGACAGGCGGACCCGGAUGGCCCCUGCUCUGGGAGACGCGAGGGCUCCCGGAGCCCCGUCCAUCACUGCUCGCAGCUGGCACUUGGAAAUGAGAGACCGGUUCCAUGUUCCCAAUCAAUGUCUGUCUGCCAUCUCUGUCGAUAACUGCCGGGCGGUCCAAUCUUUCCCCUGACGGAGAGGCACCCGGGGGGUCAGCCUGAAGACGCUCUGGAGGGAAAAGGCGGCCGUUUGAUUCAGAGCCUCCUCGCCGGGCUGGAAUUAAGUUGGCUUUUUCUCUAAUGAAACUGACUCCAAGGGUCUCUGUGUGCCAGGGACUCAAUAGCGCUCAGGAGAAGCACUGAUGAGGCCCGAUGCAAGCGUGCACACAGGCAGAUUCCCACCCCCCACCCCCCAUGAUGCUUGCAAGGCGCUGCGAGCCCCCUAGGAAGCACGGAUGGCUCGGCACGAUGUGGAAACCGUAGCGGGGACUCAACGAAUGCCGAGGGAUGAGCUCCUGGUCGCUGCCUUCCCCAUUGUUCCGAUGGAGAGACCAAAGCAUUAAGAGGCCUAGAAACUCACUCGCG
rnacentral:lncRNA from 1 species